GAACGCUUAAUUUUCUACUGAAGCAGUCUUAUUUGUUAAAAAUGUCUAGUUGUCAAUCAACCGGUGGUAUGACUUCAACUCCAACACUUGCUCCUAUAAGAUCAGAAGAUCCAGCAUGGGCCCAUGCACGUGCAGUGCCAGGGGCAAGAAAUAAUACUGAAUGUUUAUAUUGUAAUAAAGUAAUUAGCGGUGGCGGGAUCACUCGGUUGAAGCGUCAUCUAGCUGGGAUUCCAGGCGAUGUAGAAGCAUGUAAAAAGGUCUCUGAAGAUGUAAAAUGGCAAAUGAAAGAGUUGCUUGGUGAAAUGCCAAAAAACAAAGAGAAGAAAAGAAAAAUAAGGUCAGAGAUUGGAGGCGAUAUAGAUUUAACAUCUGAUGAUAUUGAUGAUAGUAAUAGUAUGGAGGGACAAUCUCAGCUUUCAAAAGGUAAGGGGAAGUCGA